rnacentral:rRNA from 1 species
CUUGAACGCUGGCGGCAGGCCUAACACAUGCAAGUCGAACGAGUGGCGGACGGGUGAGUAAUGUCUGGGAAACUGCCUGAUGGAGGGGGAUAACUACUGGAAACGGUAGCUAAUACCGCAUACCAUCGGAUGUGCCCAGAUGGGAUUAGCUAGUAGGUGGGGUAAAGGCUCACCUAGGCGACGAUCCCUAGCUGGUCUGAGAGGAUGACCAGCCACACUGGAACUGAGACACGGUCCAGACUCCUACGGGAGGCAGCAGUGGGGAAGAUGGCACAAUGGGCGCAAGCCGGAUGCAGCCAUGCCGCGUGUAUGAAGAAGGCCUGCGGGUUGUAAAGUACUUUCAGCGGGGAGGCGUUACCCGCAGAAGAAGCACCGGCUAACUACGUGCCAGCAGCCGCGGUAAUUC